rnacentral:lncRNA from 1 species
UUUUUUUCAAGUAGAAAUAAGUUGUUUGUCUUUCAAAUUUCAUAGCAAUCUUAAUUUUGGUUUCAAUUUCAUUUUAGUUUCUAAGGUUUCAAUUUCAUAGUUUCCAUGGUUUUUUUAUUCAGAUUCCGAGAAGGCAACAUUGGUAGGCAAGAGGGGGAAAUACCAAUAAAAGCGCAAGAUAUCAAUAAAAGCAAAUGGUAACAUAAAUCAAACUCAUAUCUCAAAAAAAAAAAAAACAUAAAUCAAACUCAUAUAGGCAGUCUUAUAUGCCACAAGUCUGAUCAAAUAUUCAAUUUAUGCUAUCGCCUAUUUAGUUUCCUUUUGGAUGAUAGAUGUCACGCCCCGGGACCGAUGCCAAUUUGGCCCGACCCGAGCACGUCAAACAGACGCCGAACGGACAGAGUUUCCCCUAUCCGCCCAAGGCUCAUCACACGUACCUUUUCAUCAAUAGAGAAAAGCACUAGCGGAAACAUACACAAACGGCUUACACGAGGGUAAGCAAUAGCCAUAAGUGAAAGAAAAAGGAAACUAAACAUUCACAAGUAAUAUGAUUCAUUUUAGAUCAUAUACAUUGCAUCCAUUUCUUACAUUUAAGACUCUUUACAUUUCAUUACAUAAUUUCAUCAUUUCUUUCUUACAUCACAUUUACCUCAAAAUAAGCUUUACAUUCUUUUCUUGCUUUGCUAAAUCAUCAAAUACAAAAGAUGAUCAUAAGGUACUUUACUACAAAAUGAAACCCAACAUCGGUGGCCUCUGUCUAAGGCGCGAUACCUUUACCUCGGUCGCUCGCCGGCUCGCUCGGUCCCGGCUCUGUGGAAAUAGUGGGGUGAGAACUACAACAAAGUUCCCAGUGGGUUCGGCCUCAACAUCACCGACUUUCCCACUAGGACUAACUCAGGCAUAAUAGAAAGAAUAAGCUGAAAUAUGGUAACCAAUCUAUAACAUGAUACUAAUAUGCCUGAACAAAAGCAGGAAGUAUGCUCAACAUUAAACAUAUGCAGAUUAUGCAAGUUCUUUCAUUCUUUAACUUUACUCUUUGUUCUUUGCUCUUUGUUCUUUGUUCUUUGCUCUUUAAUCAUUAAGGCUAACCCGGGGGUUUCGCCACAUUAACUUGCUUCACGUUAAGUCCAUCAUCGCAGGUACUCACCAGCUAGGACCGUCCUUACGGGUCUACUCCAACCCGGAUGCAUAACUCCGGAGCGCAUCGCCCGAGGGGGAGCGACCGCCCUCGAGCACGGAACUCAAUAGCAAGUAUGAUCAUAUCCUUAACUCAAAGGAUUAUAAGUUCAAUCUUGACUUUACACUAGCUCUAGUGUUCUUUACGUCACUUUAUGUUGCAAACUCAUGCAAUCACAUUCCGUACAUUCUCAUUACUCUUGCUAACUCUAGCAAUCAUUGUUCUUUGCAUUUCUUUUACUUUUGCUAACUCUAGCAUUCUUGUUCUUAUUGCCCACUUUACUCGUCGUCAUUUUCAUCAUUCUUUACAUCACUUUAAUUCUUUACAUCACACUAACUCUAGUGUCAUUUCACAUUAGCUUUAUCGAAUGCCACUCGAUCUAUGUCAUAUGUGCCACUCUGUUCUUUUGCUCACUUUGGGUGCUCGCUUUUCUCUCAUGCAUACAUAUAGGGUUUUAACUUUCAUAAGGUUCUCAACCAUCACAUUAUGCAAGUUGUGCUCACAAUCAUGCAAUCAUCACAUUUCAUC